rnacentral:rRNA from 1 species
UGGGGAAUAUUGGACAAUGGGGGCAACCCUGAUCCAGCAAUGCCGCGUGAGUGAAGAAGGCCUUCGGGUUGUAAGGCUCUUUUACCAGGGAUGAUAAUGACAGUACCUGGAGAAUAAGCUCCGGCUAACUCCGUGCCAGCAGCCGCGGUAAUACGGAGGGAGCUAGCGUUGUUCGGAAUUACUGGGCGUAAAGCGCGCGUAGGCGGUUUUUUAAGUCAGAGGUGAAAGCCCGGGGCUCAACCCCGGAAUUGCCUUUGAAACUGGAAAGCUAGAAUCUUGGAGAGGUCAGUGGAAUUCCGAGUGUAGAGGUGAAAUUCGUAGAUAUUCGGAAGAACACCAGUGGCGAAGGCGACUGACUGGACAAGUAUUGACGCUGAGGUGCGAAAGCGUGGGGAGCAAACA